rnacentral:rRNA from 1 species
GAUAAACGCUGGCGGCGUGCCUAAUACAUGCAAGUCGAGCGAACGGACGAGAAGCUUGCUUCUCUGAUGUUAGCGGCGGACGGGUGAGUAACACGUGGAUAACCUACCUAUAAGACUGGGAUAACUUCGGGAAACCGGAGCUAAUACCGGAUAAUAUUUUGAACCGCAUGGUUCAAAAGUGAAAGACGGUCUUGCUGUCACUUAUAGAUGGAUCCGCGCUGCAUUAGCUAGUUGGUAAGGUAACGGCUUACCAAGGCAACGAUGCAUAGCCGACCUGAGAGGGUGAUCGGCCACACUGGAACUGAGACACGGUCCAGACUCCUACGGGAGGCAGCAGUAGGGAAUCUUCCGCAAUGGGCGAAAGCCUGACGGAGCAACGCCGCGUGAGUGAUGAAGGUCUUCGGAUCGUAAAACUCUGUUAUUAGGGAAGAACAUAUGUGUAAGUAACUGUGCACAUCUUGACGGUACCUAAUCAGAAAGCCACGGCUAACUACGUGCCAGCAGCCGCGGUAAUACGUAGGUGGCAAGCGUUAUCCGGAAUUAUUGGGCGUAAAGCGCGCGUAGGCGGUUUUUUAAGUCUGAUGUGAAAGCCCACGGCUCAACCGUGGAGGGUCAUUGGAAACUGGAAAACUUGAGUGCAGAAGAGGAAAGUGGAAUUCCAUGUGUAGCGGUGAAAUGCGCAGAGAUAUGGAGGAACACCAGUGGCGAAGGCGACUUUCUGGUCUGUAACUGACGCUGAUGUGCGAAAGCGUGGGGAUCAAACAGGAUUAGAUACCCUGGUAGUCCACGCCGUAAACGAUGAGUGCUAAGUGUUAGGGGGUUUCCGCCCCUUAGUGCUGCAGCUAACGCAUUAAGCACUCCGCCUGGGGAGUACGACCGCAAGGUUGAAACUCAAAGGAAUUGACGGGGACCCGCACAAGCGGUGGAGCAUGUGGUUUAAUUCGAAGCAACGCGAAGAACCUUACCAAAUCUUGACAUCCUUUGACAACUCUAGAGAUAGAGCCUUCCCCUUCGGGGGACAAAGUGACAGGUGGUGCAUGGUUGUCGUCAGCUCGUGUCGUGAGAUGUUGGGUUAAGUCCCGCAACGAGCGCAACCCUUAAGCUUAGUUGCCAUCAUUAAGUUGGGCACUCUAAGUUGACUGCCGGUGGCAAACCGGAGGAAGGUGGGGAUGACGUCAAAUCAUCAUGCCCCUUAUGAUUUGGGCUACACACGUGCUACAAUGGACAAUACAAAGGGCAGCGAAACCGCGAGGUCAAGCAAAUCCCAUAAAGUUGUUCUCAGUUCGGAUUGUAGUCUGCAACUCGACUACAUGAAGCUGGAAUCGCUAGUAAUCGUAGAUCAGCAUGCUACGGUGAAUACGUUCCCGGGUCU